rnacentral:tRNA from 1 species
AAUAUGAAACUUUGAAUAGUUACGGGUUUCUGUAAAGAGCUCACUAUAGACGGCGCCACGGUUCGCUUAAACCGAAAUUAAAAAUAUCAUAUCGAAAAUUUCGCUCGAGCGGGUGCAUCGUUCCAUAGCUUAAUUGGCUAGAGCGCCGACACGGUACGUCGGAGACGCGGGUUCGAACCCCGCUGGAGCGGUCAAUUUUUGAUAUGAUAUUCAAAAUGUUUAGAAUUCCUAAUGUGGGUAACACAAAAAUAAAAUCUUAGAUAACAUAA